rnacentral:rRNA from 1 species
UUGACGUUACCGGCAGAAUAAGCACCGGCUAACUCCGUGCCAGCAGCCGCGGUAAUACGGAGGGUGCAAGCGUUAAUCGGAAUUACUGGGCGUAAAGCGCGCGNAGGCGGUUUGUUAAGUCNGAUGUGAAAUCCCCGGGCUCAACCUGGGAACUGCAUUNGAAACUGGCGAGCUAGAGUAUGGUAGAGGGGGGUGGAAUUCCAGGUGUAGCGGUGAAAUGCGUAGAGAUCUGGAGGAACACCGGUGGCGAAGGCGGCCCCCUGGAC